UAAAAAACAGUGAAGAGAAAGAGUACCUUAAAAGAAACCUCCAGAGAGUCUGUAUGGGUGAAAGCAGAUGGUUUAGUUUAAGCGAAGUGCCUCUCUGAGUUGAGGUAUUGAACCUGCAGUAGGUACCUAUCGGCUAACAUCCGUUAACUUGUCCAAGGUAGUUGUUGAAGGAAUACAAAAAAUGUAGACCUGACAAACUACGAAGAAAAGUGGAACCACGCGAGACAGCGUCUUUUAU
rnacentral:ncRNA from 1 species